AACGUAGGACACAAGCGUUAUCCGGAAUUACUGGGCGUAAAGCGUGCGCAGGCGGUCUUUUAAGUCAGAUGUGAAAUCCCCGGGCUUAACCUGGGAACUGCGUUUGAAACUGAAAGGCUAGAGUGUGGCAGAGGGGGGUGGAAUUCCACGUGUAGCAGUGAAAUGCGUAGAGAUGUGGAGGAACACCGAUGGCGAAGGCAGCCCCCUGGGCUAACACUGACGCUCAUGCACGAAAGCGUGGGGAGCAAACAGG
rnacentral:rRNA from 1 species